rnacentral:RNase_P_RNA from 2 species
CUGGUGAGAAGACGGUUUAAGGAGCGACUCACGAGUGCAAUUCGUCACUCUUCACUAUCAAAUGCUCCUGGGAAGGUCUGAGAUAAGGUCCGACGCCAACAGGUGGCGUUUCAAUCCUCUAGCAGGGGAGUAGUGUAAAACACUGCAGGGCCGUACGAGAAAAGCCGACGGGUGUGUGCUAUAACGCACGAUGAAUCGAAAGAUUCGGACGUUCUACGGUACACAUCUGUCGUUUGGACACGGUGCUGGUAUCGGCUGCGCUGAGUGCGAUAACCACUAAACCCAAUUCAGACUACUCUCUCGCCAG